rnacentral:rRNA from 1 species
UGAGGAACAUGACCUUCGGCGGGGGAUAGCCGGCCCAACGGCCGGGUAAUACCGCGUACGACCUUUCGGGGACAUCCCUGGAUAGUGAAAGCAGCAAUGCGCCGAUGGAGUGCCUCGCGGCCUAUCAGCUAGUUGGUGAGGUAACGGCUCACCAAGGCGACGACGGGUAGCUGGCCUGAGGAGGGCGAUCGGCCACACUGGGACUGAGACACGGUCCAGACUCCGUACGGGGAGGNAG